UAAGAAGAUCCUACAGACCUUCCUUAAAGAGCAUUUUAAAUGACAUCUUCAAUUAAGAUCACAAUCUAAGAUGCUUGGAGGGCAAGAUUUCAACUUGUGAAUCUAUAGCUUCAGAAGGAAAAAAAUCAUUGGAAGAGGCAAUAGUCUGAUAAAUAUUCAUUGUGGUGCCUUGGUGAUCUCUAAAGUUCUGAUGAGGAGUUCCUAGUGUAUUGAUGUGUGGUGAUUCUGAAGGUUGGUUCUGCACAUAUUAGGCAGCUACUGGACCAAUGAGCUACAUUUUCAGCCUACUCUAUGGUCUUAAGGUAG